rnacentral:misc_RNA from 1 species
CGUGGUGGACGCAGGGGUGG